rnacentral:rRNA from 1 species
CCUGACUGCUAUCGGAUUGAUACUAAGCCAUGCGAGUCUUUGUAGUAAUACAAGGCAGACGGCUCAGUAACACGUAGUCAACCUACCCUAUGGACGAGAAUAAUCUCGGGAAACUGAGCAUAAUUCUUGAUAGAUCAUAAUGCCUGGAAUGGUUUAUGAUUAAAAUGAUUCGUCGCCAUAGGAUGGGACUGCGGCCUAUCAGCUUGUUGGUGAGGUAAUGGCCCACCAAGGCGAUUACAGGUACGGGCUCUGAGAGGAGAAGCCCGGAGAUGGGUACUGAGACACGGACCCAGGCCCUAUGGGGCGCAGCAGGCGAGAAAACUUUGCAAUGUGCGAAAGCACGACAAGGUUAAUCCGAGUGAUUUCUGCUAAAGAAAUCUUUUGCCAGUCAUAAAACCACUGGUGAAUAAGGGGUGGGCAAGUUCUGGUGUCAGCCGCCGCGGUAAAACCAGCACCUCAAGUGGUCAGGAUGAUUAUUGGGCCUAAAGCAUCCGUAGCCUGCUUUGUAAGUUUUCGGUUAAAUCCAUGUGCUCAACGCAUGGGCUGCCGAAAAUACUGCAUAGCUAGGGAGUGGGAGAGGUAGACGGUACUCAGUAGGUAGGGGUAAAAUCCUUUGAUCUAUUGAUGACCACCUGUGGCGAAGGCGGUCUACCAGAACACGUUCGACGGUGAGGGAUGAAAGCUGGGGGAGCAAACCGGAUUAGAUACCCGGGUAGUCCCAGCUGUAAACGAUGCAGACUCGAUGAUGCAUUGGCAUAUAGCCAGUGCAGUGUCGCAGGGAAGCCGUUAAGUCUGCCGCCUGGGAAGUACGUACGCAAGUAUGAAACUUAAGGGAAUUGGCGGGGGAGCACCACAAGGGGUGAAGCCUGCGGUUC